rnacentral:tRNA from 1 species
GCCUGGGUGGCUCAGUCGGUUGAGCGUCCGACUUUGGCUCAGGUCAUGAUUUCGUGGUUCAUGGGUUCAAGCCCUGUGUCGGGCU